AGUAAGGUUACAAAGCAUUUGUACUUUGUUACUUCUGCCAAAAACACCAUAUAACAGAGCGAGGAGAGCAGAGCUGUGUAUGUGUGUGUGUGUGUGUGAGAGAGAGAGAGAGAGAGAGAGAGAGAGAGAGAGAGAGAGAGAGAGACCACAAAAAGAGAGUAGAUAAGUAUCCUGGUCAGGAAGUCUGGUUGAACACAAAGUAGAAAGUUUAGGGUAAAGUUUGCGGCUGCGUGCUGCCGUGCACAUCAAUCACGUGACCUGCCCUUCCUUUAAAAGCGGCGGCCUGAACAAAGGGGCUGCGUCUCUCGGCGUGAGCUUAGCUCAGCGUGAGUACAGUCCAUGGAGUUUACUAAGAGUUUAUUCGGGUUGAGUGUCAGUGUUUAUAUGGCUAUUUAAGCGGCGUAAUUAACUUUUCUUCUCAGUGGUGACUGAUGGCUUUGGACGACGAGACGGUUCAGUAGCUGGAUGCUGUAAUUUAAAGUAAAAGUACACUAGAUGAGCAAGCUGGAAAUGUCUCGAAAGGUCCAUAUGGGUGCCAAAACCAAAAUGAAACAUGUCAAGUUGAUGUGCUGCCAGAAUUGUAAUGCACAAUAUGACACAAUCAAGCUCUUUAAAGCACAUAUCCGGAAUUACGGUCAUAAACAGGAAGUGUCAAGACUUUUUCAGACAGCAUUGUAUAAAGGACAAGUUUUUUUCCCCAUCUUUGGUGUUCUGGACUACGUGAGAAGCGCUCUUUCAGGAGACCCAGUCAUUGGUUUGGACAUGGUCACAUUGUGUAUUACUCCAGAGAGGAUUGGCGCCUUUUACCUGUGCCAUGUUUGCGAGGAAAGCUUGAAAAAUCAUGAUGUUUUAAAACAUCUGUGUUCUGUUGAUCAUUACUACAAGUACUUGGCGCACAGGAAUCCGGAGUUGCUGCGGUUUGCCUGGUUCACGAAUUCUUUUUCUUAUCUGCAAUGCAGUGCUAAGAAAGAACACCUCACCAACGGCGCUGGUACCCUAAGGGUUUUAGAGCUGCCUAAGGUGAUGCUGGAGACAGGCAAAGAAAUGGCCUAUCAUCAAGGUAAUAUGAAGGUUUCUCGUUGUUGGUUUUAUUUCACGAGGCCAAAAAAGCACACUGAACAAACUUUUGUUCCAUUUUUCUGUAGUCAUGAACAUGUUCUCCAAAACGAAGAAAGUGAUAGAACUUGUCCGAGGUAA
rnacentral:lncRNA from 1 species